AACAAAAAGACAAAAAUGGGGGGUCCACUACACUUGCAUACAAACUGAUUGUGAUGCUGUCACUCAUUUUCUAGUCUAUAUCUUGGACUGAAAAAACCUUAUUAUGUUUUCAGGUGUUUUGCCCCUGCGGUUGUGAAGAGGAUGCUGUGGAGGUGGCAGCAUGAACGUGUCACACAGACAUUGGCUAAACUACUCGGCUUCUACACUUGCCCUCAGAGUUCACAUAUGGUUAAGUGCACAGGUGUCCAGCCAGGUUCAGACUGAUGCUGGUAACAAGAGGAAAACAUGCUGAUUGGAAUGAUUCAACGAUGGACAUUUUGCUUAAUUGUGGAAAAAAAUAAAUGGAAAAACUUCUAUGGUUUCUUGUGUUUUCAUUGGUGAGGCAUAUGGGUUAAGCACUGAUCAGGAAGACCUCAAAUAA